CCCUCUCGCGGGCGCGGCUCGGGGCCAGGACCGGGGAGACCCAGGAGAGGCGGCGGGGCGCGGGCGGCGAAUCUGGCCGGGACGCCGCCGUCUGCGGGCGCUCGGAGGGAGCUCCACCUGGUCGCCGCGCCGCGGCCGGAGGGGCGGGGCCCGGCUUCCCCGAGGCGGCGGCGCCUCCUCGCUCCCGAGCGCGCACUCCCCGGCGUCCGGCGCACGCGCGAGGCCGGGAGAGAGAGCGCCGCGGCGGCGGCGGCGGGAGCGGGAGGGGGAGGAGGAGGAGGCGUUGGCGGAGGCGGAGGAGAAGGGCGGCUGAGGGGAGGCUGGCCGCGCGCGCGGUGGUGGCGGCGGCGCCGGCGACCUGAGCCGGGCGGAGUGGAGAGCGACGGAGGGGGCGGAGAGAGAGGGAGGCGGAGAGGAGUGAGAGCCGCAUUUCCAGUUCCCAACUACGAGUCCCGAGUUUGUAGAUGGGGCUGCUCGGCGGCGUCUGCGGCUGAGGAAGAGCAGCGGCGGCGGGAGGAGGGGAGCGACGGCGGCGCGGAGGAAGCCGAGGUGCGAGCCGGUGAGUUGCCGGGGCCCCCACGUCUCUCGGGUAACGGUCUAGCCGCGCGCCGAGCUGGCCGGGGGGCGCCCUGUUGCUUGCGGCUUCGCGCCACGCGGGGACCCCGGCCCGCCCCGCCCCCUCGGCACCUGGGCUCGGGCGGGCGGCGGGGGCGGCGGGGGCUGUUCGGCUCGUCUCGUGCGGGAGGGCGCGCUCUGCGGGGCCCCAGGUUUCCGGGCUGCGGGCGUGCGGGCUGGCCGGCCGAGCGCGGCAACGUGUCUGGCCCAUGCUGCCGGCUGCCGCGCCCCGCUCUCCGCCCGCGCUCCCCGGCGCGGCCCGGGCGGGGGCAGGGCUGGGGCUGGGGGCGCGGGGCCCCCUCCGAGAGCCGGGCGCGGGCGCCUGCACCCUCUGCGGCGAGAGUGGCGUUAAAGCAUGAAUGGAGAGCCGCGCCGGGGACGGCGGUUGCCGUGACUGACACCUUCGGAGUCGGUGCCCAGUGGGGGCGACUCCGCCGGCCUCUGGCUGCCUCUCGAGCUCCGAGUUCUUGGGGGAGGAGGCUUUCGGCGAGUUCUGCUGCCACUUCCGAGGCACGAGACUCCAGUUGUUUGGCCAGAGUGGUUUUGGGCCGAGCACACGCUGCUCCGGAGGCGUUUGCGGCUGAGGCAGUGCUUUCCGAUUCUGAGUACGUUGGUCUGGAACCAGAAAGGUGCUGGCUUUUUUUGUUUGUGGUUAUUUUGGGGGUUUUUUUUGGCUUUUUUGGCGGGGUGGAGGGCCAGGAGUGA
rnacentral:lncRNA from 1 species